rnacentral:rRNA from 1 species
UACGUAGGGACCGAGCGUUGUCCGGAAUCAUUGGGCGUAAAGAGCGUGUAGGCGGCCACUUAAGUCCUGCGUGAAAUCCUGCGGCUCAACCGCAGGCGGUCGUGGGAAACUGGGUGGCUAGAGUGCGGGAGAGGAGAGUGGGAAUUCCUGGUGUAGCGGUGGAAUGCGCAGAUAUCAGGAAGAACACCCGUGGCGAAGGCGGCUCUCUGGAACGCAACUGACGCUGAGACGCGAAAAGCGUGGGGGAGCAAACAGG